GAUUAGGGUGCAGGGCAAGGAAGAUAAGCAUUAGCUGGUUCACCCAUCAGAGCUUAUGCAACCUGAUCCUAUGAUCUUUGUACAAAGACCUUGAUAGUCUAUAGUACAGUAAAUGCCCACAUCCUGCUUGGGAAAGAUGCUGGUGGUAAUAAUGACAACACUGUUCCAGGGAAGCCUCUUGGUUUCCUCAUUACUCCCAGUGGUGGAGACAGCUCUCUCCGAGUUGGCCUUGGAACCUGUGUGCGCUGCCCCAUGGCCAUAUAGGCUCGGAUUGAAUGCUCUACUGUGCUUCCCGUUGUUUGUAGUUCCCUCUGAUGUGGUUAGCAUUGGCUGUCUUGUUCACGUGUUGGGUAAGAAUAGCUUUGCUCAGAAUGAGCUAGCGAGAAAUCCAAAUGCUACUUGUACUUCAUGGAACACCAAAUGCACUCUGAAUCCUUUCUUCUCUUUUCUCUUACUCUUCAAAACUUGGAGAACGGGGUCAUCUUCUCAAGGAAAUCUUUGCAGUGCUCCUUUGUGCUUCUGGGGUGGGUUAGAGGGGCUCCCCACAAACCCUCUUUGUAUUGCUGUCCUCCCACUUACAACACUAUGGAGUAUUUCUCUGUCUGUCUGGUUUGCUGACAGCAGAGGUGUCUGCUCUUUUUUUCCCUCAUCUAUGCAGUACUUGGUUCCUGGAACAGUGCUCAUGAUAUGAGUUCAAUGGAACCAGCCCAUAAUGAACUGGAGACUCUGGUGCUCUAUUUGCUAGAUCCAGGCUCACUGAUUUUCUUUUUUUCUAAUUGUUUUGUUUCGCCAUGUUGAAUACAUAAGCAAUACCUGAAAGCAUUGUUUUUGUAAAACAUUCCGAAAAAAGUAUACAGAGUAUACAGGUCUACGCUAAUUUCCCCCACUCCCUUCCCCAAAGGUGGCCAUUGCUAUCAUCUGGGUUUGUAGUCUCUAGGUUCUCCUCACACUUACCAAUACAUACGUACAUGAAGAAAUCUUCCGUUUUGUUUGGUGAUACUGCAUUUGGCUUUGAUCACAUAACAAUUGCUACAGAGUAAUCCACAGAUUGUGGGUAAGGGAUUAGGCUCAGUUUAAAUAAGAAAGGAAACUAUUAAAGGAUAUUAGCCAGUUCACAGAAUUUGUGGGAGGGCAGCAGGACAGAGCCUGAAGCCACACAAUUAGGAAGGCCCAAAUGCACUAUACGUGUGAGUGACUGAAAGAGGGUUCUGCAGUGGAGACCCCAUUGCCAACACGUCCCAGCCCAGUGUUGCUCGGGGCUGCACUCCCAGGGUUCCUCCAAUGCCAUGCUGAAGCAGCCAGAUACCUCUACCCCACGCUUGCUAGAAAAUCGCUUCACCCCCAGCAAGCUUCACCUCUGUCACCAUCAUGGUCACCUUUCCAUCUUCAAGGGGACCGAGCAAUAGAGCAAUCUGAAGAGAAGAUCAAAUCUUGGGUUGCCAAAGUGAGCCAUGAAAAUGUAAUGGUACAUGUUGGCAAUAACCAGUUAACCAUUAAAUAGAAAAACAGAUAUCAUUCACCAUAGCAACAAGAGCUGUGAAAUAUGUAGGAACACUCCACACAAUUUAAUGUGAUCCUGGCUUUUGGUAUCCAGGUCCCACACGGAGGCAGAGGGGAUAGAGGCAGUGACUGCAGAGUUCGUCCUCCUUUGUUAUUGUGCCAGGAAAGGUGGAAACGUAAUCUGCCUCAGCACCUCUCACAGGCACUAAAAUUUAUGGACAGAAUCAUAAUUAAAAUGACAGGUGUGCUCUUGAAUUAAUUAAAUGCUCACUUUGAUGAAGGAUAUUCUGCAACAUGGAGCUUAUUUCACUAUCUAACCACUCAUGGCGAGUAUCCCUUUACUCUCCUCCACCCCAUUCACACACACACACACAAACACACACAAAGGAGGAGACAGAGAGAGACUGGAACGUGGCUCUUCCAGUGUGAUAAUAUGAAUAAAAUUUCAUAUACACAUAUUUAUUUAUUUAUUCUUUAGGGCCACACCUUUAGCAUGUGGAAGUUUCAGGCUAAGAGUCUAAUCAGAGCUGCAACCGUGGGCCUAUGCCACAGGCACAGCAAUGCCAGAUCCAAGCUGCAUCUGCAACCUACACAGCAGUUUGAGGCAACAGUGGAUCCUUAACCCACUGAGCAAGGGUAGGGAUCAAACCCACAUCUUCAUGGAUACUAGUUGGGUUCUUAACCCCCUGAGCCACAAUAGGAACUCCACAAAUACUGCCUUUUAUAUUAUUGUAAUCUGCAUUUUAUAGGUAGGAAAUGGUGAUUUCUUUAUUAAAUUAAAAUUCUAAACACCCAUACUAUCUCUCUCUGCAAACGUCUCCAAAAACAGUCUUUCUUUCUACUGUUGCCUAAAACUAUACAAUUAGAGAUUGCUUUGUUUGACAUGAAGAUUUGUUGCCUCUUAAAAUGCUAAUCCUUUGAGAGCAUGCCUCCUCAGUGCAAGCCAGUUUAUCAGGUCUUCUGGAAAAUAUGUUGAAUAAAGACUGAAAUGGAGUUCCCUUGUGGUGCAGCAGCUUAAGGAUCCAGCAUUGUCACUGCAGCAGCCCAGGCUGCUGCUGUGAUUUGGGUUCAAUCCCUGGCCUUGGAACUUCCACGUGUCCCAGGCAUGGCCAAAAGAAAGGACAGAGACAAUCAGAAGAAUUUUGGAAAGUGGUGGAUAAAGAAGUUGAUUUUUCUCAGAGCUCCUUAAUCAAAUAUCCAAGCCCAGUAGCAGAAACAAGGUGGGAGAAUGAGAAGGGGGUGGAAAGCAGACUGGGCAGGGUAAAGAUAGAUGCUGAGGUGCUCAGGGCACAAGGACAGAGACACUUAGAGCGCUGCAGCGAAGCCUAGAAACACAGUGCACACACACAGCUAGCUGCACAGCCAUCUCUGAGGCACAGGCCCAGCAGAGCAAGUUUGCAGAUCAGGGGCCUCAUUUUCUCAACUUGUUAGGGACCUCGGCUCUCACUUCCUUCUCGCAGAAAAGUAUUUUCCUCUCCUCCCACUCCUAUUGCCCUCCCAUCACCUGUCCUGUAGUGAGCCUGAAAACAGGGUUGAGGUGGUAGGCCGAGUCCCACAGAGCAGUUUUAUUUACUCAAGCCCUCGGCCACCUGCAGGCCUCUGAUCUAAUCAGGGAAACACAAUUAAAACAAGUUCCUGCAUGAAUAUCAGCGAGGAGCAGCCUCCCUUUGCUCAACACGUUUCUUACCAGGCCUGUUGGAUGGGAGGAGGCCCUCUCUGCUGCAAGUUUCCCAUGUUAAAGUUCUCCAUUUCCUAUUAAGAUUACGCAUUCAAAUCCAAAGCUCCACCAUCGUGUCUGAAAGAAGGAAAUGCUGGUCACACACUUUUAAAUGACAACACUAUAUCUGGGGUACAAAUUAAAAAAAAAAAUAAAACCUAGAACUUUCUCAUAAAAGACACAAUCACAGUAUUCCUUUUUUAUGUUAAAAGCAUUAAUGUGUUAUAUAUAAAUAGGUAUAAUGUGCCAUACUAUUAAAAUCCUGUUCAAACAUUUUUAAUAAUUCUUUUUUGUUUUUUGGCCUUACCCUCAGCAUAAGGAAGUUCCCAGGCCAGGAGUGGAACUUGUGCCACAGCAGCGACCACAGCCAUAGCAGUGAUAAUGCGGGAUCCUUAACUGAGGCUCUCUGGGAAGCCCAGCACGUACUUUGGCUAACUUCACAACUCACUUUUAAAUUAGGAAAGCGGAGUUCCCAUCAUAGCACAGUGGAAACGAAUCUGACUAGGAACCAUGUGGUUGUGAGUUCGAUCCCUGGCCUUGCUCAGUGGGUUAAGGAUCUGGUGUUGCCAUGAGCUGUGGUAUAGAUCGCAGAUACAGCUUGGAUCUGGCGUUGCUGUGGCUGUGGCACAGGCCAGCAGCUGAGGCUCUGAUUUGAGCCCUCGCCUGGGAACCUCCAUAUGUCAUGGGUGCAGC
rnacentral:lncRNA from 1 species